rnacentral:rRNA from 1 species
CAAUAGCGUAUAUUAAAGUUGUUGCAGUUAAAAAGCUCGUAGUUGAAUCUUUGCUUGCCGCCGAUGUCGGAACUUCCGUACGUUCGGCGGCGUGCAUCCUUGGGUGGAACCUGUGUGGCAUUAGGUUGUCGUGCAGGGGAUGCUCAUCGUUUACUGUGAAAAAAUUAGAGUGUUCAAAGCAGGCUUACGCCGUUGAAUAUAUUAGCAUGGAAUAAUAAGAUAGGACCUUGGUACUAUUUUGUUGGUUUGCGCACCGAGGUAAUGAUUAACAGGGACAGUUGGGGGUAUUCGUAUUCCAUUGUCAGAGGUGAAAUUCUUGGAUUUCUGGAAGACGAACUACUGCGAAAGCAUUUACCAAGGAUGUUUCCAUUA